UUAUCGUGUUAGUCCACCGAUUUAGGGAGUAUUAUGAAGUUCUACUAAAUUAAUUGACAAAAAAAUUAAAAUUAUGCCUAUGUACCAUGAAAGAGAGCUUAAUAUACAUUAAUACAAAUGUAGAAUGUGCUUAAAUAUUUUAAAACAACACUAAAGAUUAUAGGCUUCAGUAUAUAGAUAAUUUCCCAAAAAAAUCAAUAUUUUCGUAGGGGUUAACACAUAGAUUUUAAGAAAAAUUCAAAAAAAUGAAAAUCACGUUUUAAUGAAUAGUUGCAUCAUUAACUAACAUAUGAUGAAUGUCAAAGAGGUUUGGAACUUUUGUUGUCUCCGUUUCUUUAAAAAAUAGCGAUUUUAUCAUGGUUAUUCUACCAAUUUAGGAAGUAUUUUGAAGUUUUACUAAAUUAAUUGACAAAAAAUUAUAAUGAUGCCAUGUACCAUGAAAGAGAGUUUAAUAUACAUUAAUACAAAUGUAGAAUGUGUUUAGAUAUUUUAAAACAACACUAAAGAUCAUAGGCUUUAUUACAUAUAACAUUUACCGAAAAAAUCAAUAUUUUCGUUGGGGUUCACACAUAGAUUUCGACAAAAGUUCAAAAAUAUUAAAAUACUGUUUUAAUACAUAUUUGCAUCCUUCACUAACAUAUUAUGGAUGUCAAAGAGGUUUGAAACUUUUGUUGUCUCCGUUUCUCUAGAAAAUAGCGAUUUUAUCGUGUUAGUCCGUGCACCGAUUUAGAGAGUAUUAUGAAGUUCUACUAAAUUAAUUGACAAGAAAUUAAAAUGAUGCUCAUGUACCAUGAAAGAGAGUUUAAUAUACAUUAAUACAAAUGUAGAAUGUGUUUAGAUAUUUUAAAACAACACAUAUAUUUUGAGAAAAUUUUAAAAAUAUGAAAAUCAUGUUUUAAUGCAUAGUUGCAUCACUCACUAACGUAUGAUGAAGGUAAAAGAGUAUUGAAACUUUUGUUGUCUCUUUUUCUCUAGAAAAUAGUGAUUUUGUAGUGGUUAUUCCACCAAUUUAGGGAGUAUUAUGAAGUUCUACUAAAUUAAUUGACAAAAAUUAAAAUGAUGCUCAUGUACCAUGAAAGAGAGUUUAAUAUAAAUUAAUACAAAUGUAGAAUGUGUUUAGAUAUUUUAAAACAACACAAAAGAUCAUAGACUUCAGUAUAUAGAGCAUUUUCCGAAAAAAUGAAUAAUUUCGUAGGGAUUAACACAUAGAAUUUGAGAAAAAUUCAAAAAUAUGAAAUCAUGUUUUAAUGCAUAGUUGCAUCCUUCACUAACAUAUGAUGAAGGUCAAAGAGGUUUGGAACUUUUGUUGUCUCCGUUUCUCAAGAAAAUAGCAAUUUAAUAGUGGUUAGUCCACCAAUUUAGGAAGUAUUAUGAACUUUUACUAAAUUAAUUGACAAAAAAUUAAAAAGAUGUC